GACGAACGCUGGCGGCAUGCCUUACACAUGCAAGUCGAACGGCAGCACGGGGGCAACCCUGGUGGCGAGUGGCGAACGGGUGAGUAAUACAUCGGAACGUGUCCUGGAGUGGGGGAUAGCCCGGCGAAAGCCGGAUUAAUACCGCAUACGCUCUAUGGAGGAAAAGCGGGGGGACUCGCAAGGGCCUCGCGCUCAAGGGGCGGCCGAUGGCGGAUUAGCUAGUUGGUGGGGUAAAGGCCUACCAAGGCGACGAUCCGUAGCUGGUCUGAGAGGACGACCAGCCACACUGGGACUGAGACACGGCCCAGACUCCUACGGGAGGCAGCAGUGGGGAAUUUUGGACAAUGGGGGCAACCCUGAUCCAGCAAUGCCGCGUGUGUGAAGAAGGCCU
rnacentral:rRNA from 1 species